AACUAAAUGGCCGAUAAAAGCGUAGAAUUUUUAAUUCUUGUAUGAACUUGUUUCUUUAGUU
rnacentral:tRNA from 1 species